rnacentral:rRNA from 1 species
AGUGAACGCUGGCGGCAGGCCUAACACAUGCAAGUCGAGCGGCAGCGCGGGGGCAACCCUGGCUGCGGGCGGCGGACGGGUGAGGAAUUCGUCGGAAUCUGCCUUUUUGUGGGGGAUAACGUAGGGAAACUUACGCUAAUACCGCAUACGUCCUACGGGAGAAAGUGGGGGACCGCAAGGCCUCACGCAGAAAGAUGAGCCGACGACCGAUUAGCUAGUUGGUGGGGUAAAGGCCCACCAAGGCGACGAUCGGUAGCUGGUCUGAGAGGAUGAUCAGCCACACUGGGACUGAGACACGGCCCAGACUCCUACGGGAGGCAGCAGUGGGGAAUAUUGGACAAUGGGCGCAAGCCUGAUCCAGCCAUGCCGCGUGUGUGAAGAAGGCCUUCGGGUUGUAAAGCACUUUUGUCCGGAAAGAAAUCCCUGGAGCUAAUACCUUCGGGGGAUGACGGUACCGGAAGAAUAAGCACCGGCUAACUUCGUG